GGGGCAGUAGCUCAGGCGGUAGAGCAUGCUUUCUGGCAACCAAAAAGUUGCUGGUUUGAUCCCCGGCCGGCUCCUA